UACGAAGGGGGCUAGCGUUGCUCGGAAUCACUGGGCGUAAAGGGCGCGUAGGCGGAUCCUUAAGUCGGGGGUGAAAGCCCAGGGCUCAACCCUGGAAUUGCCUUCGAUACUGAGGAUCUCGAGACCGGAAGAGGUGAGUGGAACUGCGAGUGUAGAGGUGAAAUUCGUAGAUAUCGGGAGGAACACCAGUGGCGAAGGCGGCGAUCUGGGCAGAUAUUGACGCUGAGGUGCGAAAGCGUGGAGAGCAAACAGG
rnacentral:rRNA from 1 species